AAUCAACGCUGGCGGCGUGCCUAACGCAUGCAAGUCGAGCGAGAAAAGGGGAGCAAUCCCCUGAGUACAGCGGCGCACGGGUGAGUAACACGUGGGUAAUCUGCCCUGGAGUGGGGAAUAACACCGGGAAACCGGUGCUAAUACCGCAUACGAUCACAGAGUCUGCGGAUUUUGUGAUGAAAGGAGCAAUUCGCUCUAGGAGGAGCCCGCGGCUGAUUAGCUAGUUGGUGAGGUAAUGGCUCACCAAGGCAACGAUCAGUAUCCGGUCUGAGAGGACGGUCGGACACACUGGAACUGAGACACGGUCCAGACUCCUACGGGAGGCAGCAGUUGGGAAUUUUUGGCAAUGGGGGCAACCCUGACCAAGCAACGCCGCGUGGGUGAUGAAGUCUCUUGGGACGUAAAACCCUUUCGACGGGGACGAAAGCCGCAAGGUUUGACGGUACCCGUAGAAGAAGCCCCGGCUAACUCCGUGCCAGCCGCCGCGGUAACAC
rnacentral:rRNA from 1 species